UACGGGGGGGCAAGCGUUGUUCGGAAUUACUGGGCGUAAAGGGCGCGUAGGCGGAUAUCUAAGUUGGGGUGAAAUCCCGGGGCUCAACCUCGGAAUUGCCUUCAAAACUGGAUAUCUUGAGUUCGGGAGAGGUGAGUGGAACUCCGAGUGUAGAGGUGAAAUUCGUAGAUAUUCGGAAGAACACCAGUGGCGAAGGCGACUCACUGGCCCGAUACUGACGCUGAGGCGCGAAAGCGUGGGAGCAAACAGG
rnacentral:rRNA from 1 species